rnacentral:rRNA from 1 species
GAUGAACGCUGGCGGCGUGCCUAAUACAUGCAAGUCGAGCGAACAGACGCGGCUCUUGCUCCACUGACGUUGGCGGCGGGCGGGUGAGUCACACGUGGAUAACCUACCUAUAAGACUGGGAUAACUUCGGGAAGCCGGAGCUAAUACCGGAUAAUAUAUUUAACCGCAUGGUUCGAUAGUUAAAGCCGGUUUUGAUGUCCCUUCUAGCUGGAUCCGCGCCGCAUUAGCUAGUUGGUAAGGUAACGGCUUACCAAGGCGACGAUGCGUAGCCGACCUGGGAGGGUGAUGGCCCACACUGGAACUGGGCCACGGUCCUGACUCCUACGGGAGGCAGCGGUAGGGAAGGGUCGGCAAUGGGCGGAAUCCUGACGGAGCAACGCAGGGUGAGUGAAGAAGGUCUUCGGAUCGGAAAACGCUGUUAUGAGUGAAGACCAAAUGUGUAAGUAACUAUGCUUGUCUUGACGGUACCUAAUCAGAAAGCCCCGGCUAACUACGUG